rnacentral:lncRNA from 1 species
ACAAUAAUAAGCUGCUUUGGUGGCUUUAGCUUUACCUCACGAUGAUGCCCUGUUUCCUCUCUGCAGUCCUGUCAGGGCACAAAAGCUGCCCUUCUGCUCUGCCUUUCACAGGAUUUCCUGCGCCCUUCAUCUCAUGCCGCCAUUUCUCCUCACUUGACUCCACACAGUUACUUCCAAAUAUCCUCUCCUUCGGAGGCCAGAUCUGGCAAACAAUGUGAAGUCACCGUGAUGAUCCUUGAAAGCCGUCGGAAACAAAUGGCUCGUCCCCCCGGGGAUCUCAGAUGUCCCACACCGUGGACUUUGAAGGGCAAGGGGGUUACCGUAACAGAUGAGCAUCCCCGUUUCCACAGCUCUUGGGCUGGUUCCAUUGGAUCCACCCAGCAGGUAGUAUUGAAACUACAGAGCCCUUGAAUGAAACCUGAACAGCAAAAUUAAAGAGAAGAAAUUGUCACAAAGUCGUGUGGUUUGGUUCCCAAGAAAUGAGGGCUUCAAAAAUUAAGCAGAAUAAUAAAUAUAGUUAUUAGAAAAUUAAAUUACUUAGAAUUGGGGAAAACAGAUGCGUAGAGACCUGGUCAAGAGACGAGCUGCACUUGGAUAACCGUAAGUUUCAGAGCUUUCAUAUUUUACAUUCGUACACUCUGUUUGGAUUAGGGGGAUUUGGGGUUCCUAUGCAUUAAAAGUUUCGCUGUUUUUCCGUAAGAUUAACACAUGACUCAUUGUACAAACUUAGGAAAUGAAGACGAUAAGAGAAUAAAAUAUUUAAACCAUUAUGCCCAAUGCAAAAUUAAUUGUGGUAAACUUUUUGGUGCGUUUCCUUCUAUUCUUUAAAAACAACAUGCUUGAUCAUAUUACAGAUAUAUCUGCAAUUUUUAACUUGAUCUACAAGCAUUUUCCACUCUUCCAUACUGGGUAUGGGUAAAAAGCAAAUCCUUUGCUUCUUGAUUCAUAUGAAAGUGUCUACUCCUCAUCGACUCACACAAAAUGAAUGAAUGGACUUCCUCACUUAUUUCUUGGGAAACGGUGUUUAACUUCUACACAGCAAUCUUCUUGUUAUGUUAGUCAAUUAGCACCCUUUAAUGCACAACUGUACUUCAAAGUGUUUUCAGCACAGAUGACUCUUUUUUUUUUUUUUUUGCAAGGUUUUAAUAACCCAGAGGGUAGAUAAUUCCACAUAUUUUUUUCCUCAUUGAGUUUAUUGGUACAUUUUAGGUAUACAGUACAAUUACUUUCAUUAUUGGGCUCUUGUACCUAUACAUGACAGGUCUUGGUUCUCAUUUUUUCCCCUUGUCCCUGCCCUCCCUUCACC